rnacentral:rRNA from 1 species
UAGAGGUCCGCCUGCCCGUGACUACAUGUUUAACGGCCGCGGUAUUUUGACCGUGCAAAGGUAGCGCAAUCACUUGUCUUUUAAAUGGAGACCCGUAUGAAUGGCAUUACGAGGGCUUAACUGUCUCCCUUUUCAAGUCAAUGAAAUUGAUCCCCCCGUGCAGAAGCGGGGAUUUCCCCACAAGACGAGAAGACCCUAUGAAGCUUUAGACACCAAGGUGGACCACGCCAGAAACCCUCCCAUAAGAGAAAGAGCUCAGUAGUACCCGCCUGACUGUCUUCGGUUGGGGCGACCACGGGGGAAGACCAAUCCCCCACGAGGAACGGGACAAUUCCCGGCCCAGAGCCCAGAGCCCCCGCUCUAAGCAACAAAACCUUUGACCUUGCAGAUCCGGCAUAGCCGAUCUACGGACCAAGUUACUCUAGGGAUAACAGCGCAAUCUCCUUCCAGAGACCCUAUCGACGAGGAGGUUUACGACCUCGAUGUUGGAUCAGGACAUCCUAAUGGUGCAGCCGCUAUUAAGGGUUCGUUUGUUCAACGAUUAAAGUCCUACGUGAUCUG